GUCUUUUUGGACAAUGAAGUGAAGUUACAAGCUACUACCUACAUUAAAUUAGGAAGUUCCCAUGCAGCAGCAGUAAGAAGAAAGUAUGUUUCAGAAAAGGAAACAUUUGCCGUGUAAACUGCCGUUUUCAAGUCCGAAUAAAGGUGGAGGGAAGUCAUUUUUCUUCUAAUUGGCGCAAUCGUAUGAUUUAUUUUUGGCGCAAAUGAUACCAUGUAAUUUUAAAACAGGUGGCG
rnacentral:lncRNA from 1 species